UAAAAGUAAGAACGUAAAAAGGAAAAAAAAACUUUGGCUGCUGGUGGCAGCUUUCAAUAGCUCCGAACGAUCGAUCUUUGUUCUUGUCAACUAUAUACAUCGUCCGAUCGGGGUCAAACUUAACACCAAAAUACUUUCAAUCGCAUCUUUGUCUUGUUCAUCUUAUAGUUGCUGCUCAGCUGCUAUUGAAAUAGAUCGUACAGGUUGUUGUUCAGCUGCUUGUGAAACAGAUCGUACAGAUGUAGUUGAAGGUUGAUGACUGCAGGUUGAAUUUCAGUCAAGUUGAAUUCAUAUAUUCUCCAUAGCGCUUCAGGCGGUGAGACCCAUCGCGCAUCUUGAAAUGUUUGUAUUUCUUCAAUAACAUUUUCACCAUCAUCAGACUGAACAUAAACUGCACACCGAUCAUGUCCUUUAUAUGUAUACAUGUAUAGAUACUUUAUUGCUUUGACUCCUGAGCAAACCUCAACAUUAAUGUGACAAUUGUAUCUUGUAAGCAGAUAAGGGCUAUAAGGUACUACCAUUGAUUUGUCAUAUACAUUCCACGAACAAUCUCUAUUCUUCCAUCCAUUCUUCUUUUAUAAAUUGGAUAUCCAUUUUUUGCUUUGA